CCUACGGGGGCUGCAGUGGGGAAUAUUGCACAAUGGACGAAAGUCUGAUGCAGCAACGCCGCGUGGAGGAUGACACAUUUCGGUGCGUAAACUCCUUUUAUAUAGGAAGAUAAUGACGGUACUAUAUGAAUAAGCACCGGCUAACUCCGUGCCAGCAGCCGCGGUAAUACGGAGGGUGCAAGCGUUACUCGGAAUCACUGGGCGUAAAGAGCGGGUAGGCGGGUAUAUAAGUCAGCAGUGAAAUCCAAUAGCUUAACUAUUGAACUGCUUUUGAAACUGUGGACCUAGAAUGUGGGAGAGGUAGAUGGAAUUUCUGGUGUAGGGGUAAAAUCCGUAGAGAUCAGAAGGAAUACCGAUUGCGAAGGCGAUCUACUGGAACAUUAUUGACGCUGAGACGCGAAAGCGUGGGGAGCAAACA
rnacentral:rRNA from 1 species